UAGAUGCGAGAGUAGAGCAUAUCAAUAAGCGGAGGAAAAGAAACUAACAAGGAUUCCCUUAGUAACGGCGAGUGAAGCGGGAAGAGCUCAAAUUUGAAAUCUUCAAGGUUCUACCUUGACGAAUUGUAGUUUAUAGAAGUGUUUUCUGUUAGUAGAGUGGCAAAAGUUCUUUGGAAUAGGACAUCAUAGAGGGUGAGAAUCCCGUAUUUGGUCAUUCUCUCUAGCUUUGUGAUACACUUUCAACGAGUCGGAUUGUUUGGGAAUGCAGUCCAAAAUGGGUGGUAAACUUCAUCUAAAGCUAAAUAUUGGCGAGAGACCGAUAGCGAACAAGUACCGUGAGGGAAAGAUGAAAAGAACUUUGAAAAGAGAGUUAAACAGUACGUGAAAUUGUCAAAAGGGAAGCGUUUGACACCAGUGUUGUUUUUCUCGAAAAUCAAUUACAAAUGAUUGGAUUUUGAGAAGUUAUGACUUCAUCGGCUUGCUUCUCUCUUUAUGAAACUUUCUUAAUGCACUUUUCGGUUAACAAGUCAACAUCAAUUUCUUUUGUUGUAAAAGGGUAUGAGGAAGGUGGCUUUCUUUUCGGAGAAAGUGUUUAUAGCCUUGUACCUCUGCAAUCGGAGAGAUUGAGGUCUGCAGCGUAGAUCCUUCGGGGUUAGAUACAUUUGUGCUAAGUUAUAGCUUUUCAUAGACAACUUGUUGACUAUGUUUAGUCUUGUAGCUUACUCGCUUAUGCUAUUUUACCUACGCUUAGGAUGUUGACACACGCGCGUGCUCG
rnacentral:rRNA from 1 species